GGCGGCAGGCUUAACACAUGCAAGUCGAGCGGUAGCAGAUCUAGCUUGCUAGAUGCUGACGAGCGGCGGACGGGUGAGUAACGCGUAGGAACCUGCCCAGUAGUGGGGGAUAGCCCGGGGAAACUCGGAUUAAUACCGCAUACGCUCUACGGAGGAAAGAGGGGCUUCGGGCUCUCGCUAUUGGAUGGGCCUGCGUGAGAUUAGCUAGUUGGUGAGGUUAUGGCUCACCAAGGCGACGAUCUCUAGCUGGUCUGAGAGGAUGAUCAGCCACACUGGGACUGAGACACGGCCCAGACUCCUACGGGAGGCAGCAGUGGGGAAUAUUGCACAAUGGGCGCAAGCCUGAUGCAGCCAUGCCGCGUGUGUGAAGAAGGCUUUCGGGUUGUAAAGCACUUUCAGUGGGGAGGAAGGCCUCGUAGUUAAUAGCUGCGAGGAUUGACGUUACCCACAGAAGAAGCACCGGCUAACUCCGUG
rnacentral:rRNA from 1 species